AUGCCGGUUGUUAUCAAGUUAAGAAACUUCAUAUGCAUUGGACAAGUCAUGUUGCUAUUGUGCUGCAGGAGGUUUUUUUUUUUCAUUGAUGGAACUGCUAUUUCUGUUAUCACUUCGACAAUGAAGUCUCGUCGACAUGGCUGCAGAGUGCUGUCAAUGCAACUUGUUGCAACCAAAAUGCAUUCCUUUGACGUCUCAUAUUCACAAGCAAGGCACAGACAAAGGCAGAAUCGAAGGAUACGCAUACACAUUUCACAGCACGUUACAACAUCUUUUCUUCUCGCAAUAGUAGAAAGCUACAGGUACAUACAGUGA
rnacentral:rRNA from 1 species